rnacentral:tRNA from 1 species
GCGGGAGUGGCGGAAUUGGCAGACGCACCAGACUUAGGAUCUGGCGCCUUUGGCGUGGGGGUUCAAGUCCCUUCUCCCGCACCA